rnacentral:rRNA from 1 species
UACGGCGAGUGAGCGGCAAGAGCUCAAAUUUGAAAUCUGGCCCCUCCGGGGUCCGAGUUGUAAUUUGCAGAGGAUGCUUCGGGCGCGGUCCCCGUCUAAGUACCCUGGAACGGGUCGUCAUAGAGGGUGAGAAUCCCGUCUGGGACGGGUGGCCGUGUCCGUGUGAAGCUCCUUCGACGAGUCGAGUUGUUUGGGAAUGCAGCUCUAAAUGGGUGGUAAAUUUCAUCUAAAGCUAAAUAUUGGCCGGAGACCGAUAGCGCACAAGUAGAGUGAUCGAAAGAUGAAAAGCACUUUGAAAAGAGAGUUAAACAGCACGUGAAAUUGUUGAAAGGGAAGCGCUUGCGACCAGACUCGCCCGCGGGGGUUCAGCCGGUACUCGUACCGGUGUACUCCCCCGGGGGCGGGCCAGCGUCGGUUUGGGCGGUCGGUCAAAGGCCUCCGGAAUGUGUCGCCCCCCGGGGCGUCUUAUAGCCGGAGGUGCAAUGCGGCCAGCCUGGACCGAGGAACGCGCUUCGGCUCGGACGCUGGCGUAAUGGUCGUAAGCGGCCCGUCUUGACC